AUGGCUAGUUUGAGUGGUUUCAGAAAUCAUCUAGGCACACCAACAACUUCCAUCCACAUCACCUGUCUUCGUCCAUAUCAUGGUUGCAAGAAAAUCUACAAGGUAAUGCAUAGCCACCUUAAGAAAACGAAGAAGCAAGAGGAUGAUAAAUGCUUGUGGAAGAAGACCAUAUUAAUGGGGGAGAAAUGUCAACCAUUGGAAUUUUCAGGUGCAAUAUUUUAUGAUAGUGAAGGGAAUCAACUUUCUGAGCCACCAAGGACACCAAGGAUUAGUCCUUUAAUUUCCCUUGGUAAAUCUAUGUCCCAAAUCAACUAA